GACGAACGCUGGCGGCGUGCUUAACACAUGCAAGUCGAACGGUAAGGCCUCUUCGGGGGUACACGAGUGGCGAACGGGUGAGUAACACGUGAGUAACCUGCCCUUGACUUUGGGAUAACAUCUGGAAACAGGUGCUAAUACCGGAUAUGAGCUUGUCCUGCAUGGGAUGGGUUGGAAAGCUCCGGCGGUCAUGGAUGGACUCGCGGCCUAUCAGCUUGUUGGUGAGGUAAUGGCUCACCAAGGCUUCGACGGGUAGCCGGCCUGAGAGGGCGACCGGCAACAUUGGGACUGAGAUACGGCCCAACUCCUACGGGAGGCAGCAGUGGGGAAUAUUGCACAAUGGGCGGAAGCCUGAUGCAGCAACGCCGCGUGCGGGAUGACGGCCUUCGGGUUGUAAACCGCUUUCAGCAGGGACGAAGCGUGAGUGACGGUACCUGCUGAAGAAGCACCGGCUAACUACGUGCCAGCAGCCGCGGUAAGAC
rnacentral:rRNA from 1 species